UCGGCUCAUCACAUCCUGGGGCUGAAGUAGGUCCCAAGGGUAUGGCUGUUCGCCAUUUAAAGUGGUACGCGAGCUGGGUUUAGAACGUCGUGAGACAGUUCGGUCCCUAUCUGCCGUGGGCGUAGGAUGAUUGAUUGGGGCUGCUCCUAGUACGAGAGGACCGGAGUGGACGCAUCACUGGUGUUCCAGUUGUCUCGCCAGAGGCAUUGCUGGGUAGCUAAAUGCGGAAGAGAUAAGUGCUGAAAGCAUCUAAGCACGAAACUUGCCAAGAGAUGAGUCAUCCCUGACUUUAAGUCAGUAAGGGUUGUUGUAGACUACGACGUAGAUAGGUCUAGUGUGUAAGUGUAGUGAUACAUUGAGCUAACAGAUACUAAUUGCCCGAGAGGCUUAACUAUACAACGCUCAAG
rnacentral:rRNA from 1 species